rnacentral:rRNA from 1 species
UACAGAGGGGGCAAGCGUUGUUCGGAAUUACUGGGCGUAAAGGGCGCGUAGGCGGCCGCCUAAGGUCAAGAGCGUUGAAAUCCCCCGGCUUAACCUGGGAACCUGACAUUUGUGACUGCAAGGCUGGAGUGCGGCAGACGGGGGAUGGAAUUCCGCGUGUAGCAGUGAAAUGCGUAGAUAUGCGGAGGAACACCGAUGGCGAAGGCAAUCCCUGGGCCUGCACUGACGCUCAUGCACGAAAGCGUGGGGAGCAAACAGG